GAAAUGAUUUUUUGUGUAUUUGAGAGAUGGGGUGUUUUUGGGAAAGAGAACUUGCCAUUUGGACCUCCGACUUGGUUGUAGCUGAGAAUUUGUCAUCUCCAAAAGUUUUGAUAUUUCACCAGCAACUGUUGAUAAUUAAUUGGAUUCUGAUGUUAUGAGGAAAAAAGUCGAUUUAACGCUAAGGGUUUUACUUAAAUUUUCUAUUCUCAAAUAAAGAGUUGGUUCGAAUUUAAUUUUGUGAGGCUUAUGUAUAUUUUAUUGAU
rnacentral:lncRNA from 1 species